rnacentral:tRNA from 1 species
GUAAUAAAAGCUUAAAUUGUGCAAGCGCUGGUCUUGUAAGUCUCACACACACACACAUGCACACACACACA